rnacentral:rRNA from 1 species
UACGAAGGGGGCUAGCGUUGCUCGGAAUCACUGGGCGUAAAGGGUGCGUAGGCGGGUCUUUAAGGCAGGGGUGAAAUCCUGGAGCUCAACUCCAGAACUGCCUUUGAUACUGAGGAUCUUGAGUUCGGGAGAGAUGAGUGGAACUGCGAGUGUAGAGGUGAAAUUCGUAGAUAUUCGCAAGAACACCAGUGGCGAAGGCGGCUCACUGGCCCGAUACUGACGCUGAGGCACGAAAGCGUGGGGAGCAAACAGG